rnacentral:rRNA from 1 species
UACGUAGGGUGCGAGCGUUAAUCGGAAUUACUGGGCGUAAAGCGUGCGUAGUCGGUUAUUUAAGUCAGGUGUGAAAUCCCCGGGCUCAACCUGGGAAUUGCAUUUGAGACUGGAUAGCUAGAGUUCGGCAGAGGGAAGUGGAAUUUCAGGUGUAGCGGUGAAAUGCGUAGAUAUCUGAAGGAACAUCAGUGGCGAAAGCGACUUCCUGGACCAGAACUGACGAUCAGGCACGAAAGCGUGGGGAGCAAACAGG